CUAAAUCCUCUGCAGUUCAGCUGCUUCUCAUUCAAACAGUAGGUCAGUGAUUUGCCUUUGAUCUCACAGCUGUUUAGGAUGCAGUCAUUAACGAGACACACACACACACACACACACACACACACAUUCUUGUACUUGUUGCUUUAUGAGGUCUACCUUGCAGUUCAGCUGCUUGUACACACAGUUAAUAUGUGUCUGCUUCACCACCUAUCUCCACCCACAAACUUUGAGCUACAGAAACCAUUCUGGGCUUCUAAAAUUCAGCUCAUUGAAGAUAUUAUGGGGUGUUUUGAGGAUUGUGAUAAUAAAUUGUAUUAAUGUGUUUAGCAGAGUCUUGUGUUCUCACAAGCUCCUUAUCAGGAAUAGAUACAGAGGAUGAGCGUCAGGGCCUACUUGGAGUCCUGUUUCCUUAGCUUCAAGCCUUCUUUCUCCUGCUAUAGUUAUGCAUCCAAGGUCCCCAUGGCAACCAAUUAGUGCACCUGGAGACACACAGCUGACUGGAAAGCUGCUUCUAAUGGCCAUAUGAGACACAUGAAGCCAGGCUCAGUACACAUAGCACUGGGGAUGACACUUAAAACCCUUUCCUAGAGCGCUUGAAAAAACUUCAGCCCCUAUCUCCUCACAUGACCUUUGACCUACAGAAACCAUUCAGGGCUUUAAAAUUUAAGCUCAUUGAGGACAUUAUGGGGUGUAUUUAGGAUUUAUAUUCAUUUAAAUUUUUCACAUUUUAAAGUCACUCAGUGAUGAUUUAUCAUUUAAUUUUUCAAACUAAUUUGAACUGAUUCAAACUGAUUCAAACCUUUCUAAUACUUAAAAAAUUAAACUUAUGCCACUUCCCACCUUCCUGCCUUUUAAGGCAAUUUCCUUCUUCAUUCAAACUUUGUGCAAUUUUAGACAUUUUUCUAGCCUCUUUCAGCAUGAAUAAAAUUUCUUUUUAUAGAGCAUAUUCAUACUAUUUGUCCUUCAACCAAUUAAUCAAUUAUCCAACUUACAUUUCUUUCACACCCCUUCAACAGCUUUAACAUUUAUACCUUUCUCCAUGUUUUAUUAGCAGUUUAGCAUUGCUUUUUCAGCUUUCAGCACUCAGCAUUUCCACGCAUUUUCUGCAAGGAAAUGCAAUUUUUCUAGUUAUUAUUAUUAUUAUUAUUAUUCUUCCGCCGUUUUUCGUCCGCUUUCAACUCCUUCCCAGUUUGUGCGAUUUCAACCGUUCAAACUUUAAACUAUUCCACUCCUUCAGGACACGUUUGCUAUUACUUUUCACUUUUCUAACAUUUAUACUUUUUGUUUUUUUUAACUUUUUGUGCAAAAAUUUUAACAUUGAAGUCAAUGGGGAAAUCUUCCAAUUCUUCCUUUUAUUCUUCCACCUUCUAGACCUUAUAACUUCAGCAUACUUUCACCUAGAGACCUCAUUUUUGCUUUAAAAUGUUCAUUCACUUGUCGACUAUUAAAGUUGUACUCAGUUUUUUUAUAUCUCUUACAGUUUUUCCACAAUUUAGCUUUAAGCAACUUGUGGUUUUCAGCAAAUUUCAAGCUUUAUAAUGGGUGUGUAUUGGAGAGUUUAGAGUGAUGAUGUCAUCAGCUAGAGUGCAGACCUCGUCUCUGAUCGACAGAACCUCGCUCGAAUAUAUCGCUCCCACGCCCACAAAUCUCACUCCACUGACACAAAUAAUACAUCAAAAUGGAGGUAUAUGUGUCCUGCUUCUCACAAAAGAGGUUUCAAAUAAUUAAAUCGUACCCCUUGGCCAGCAGGUGACCAACUGUCCAAAAAAGGCAGAAAUCUCUCCCAUUGACCGUAAUGUAAUUUGUCUCCAAGAAAAUCCGGAUCAUCGCUCAGGCUCAGACUUUUUUAACUCGCUGUUGUGGCCACAUUUUUCGGAGUACAGACAUGAAAAACACAUCAUUGUGUUCAUGAAGGGCGGAGGAUUCGUACGAUGUUCUUAUUUUCAUUCUGGGACUUAAGGAAAUCACGCUAUGUGAAGAAGUUUAGAGCCUCUAAAUCCUCUGCAGUUCAGCUGCUUCUCAUUCAAACAGUAGGUCAGUGAUUUGCCUUUGAUCUCACAGCUGUUUAGGAUGCAGUCAUUAACGAGACACACACACACACACACACACACACACAUUCUUGUACUUGUUGCUUUAUGAGGUCUACCUUGCAGUUCAGCUGCUUGUACACACAGUUAAUAUGUGUCUGCUUCGCCACCUAUCUCCACCCACAAACUUUGAGCUACAGAAACCAUUCUGGGCUUCUAAAAUUCAGCUCAUUGAAGAUAUUAUGGGGUGUUUUGAGGAUUGUGAUAAUAAAUUGUAUUAAUGUGUUUAGCAGAGUCUUGUGUUCUCACAAGCUCCUUAUCAGGAAUAGAUACAGAGGAUGAGCGUCAGGGCCUACUUGGAGUCCUGUUUCCUUAGCUUCAAGCCUUCUUUCUCCUGCUAUAGUUAUGCAUCCAAGGUCCCCAUGGCAACCAAUUAGUGCACCUGGAGACACACAGCUGACUGGAAAGCUGCUUCUAAUGGCCAUAUGAGACACAUGAAGCCAGGCUCAGCACACAUAGCACUGGGGAUGACACUUAAAACCCUUUACUAGAGCGCUUGAAAAAACUUCAGCCCCUAUCUCCUCACAUGACCUUUGACCUACAGAAACCAUUCAGGGCUUUAAAAUUUGAGCUCAUUGAGGACAUUAUGGUGUGUAUUUAGGAUUUAUAUACAUUUAGAUUUUUCACAUUUUAAAGUCACUCAGUGAUGAUUUAUCAUUUAAUUUUUCAAACUAAUUUGAACUGAUUCAAACUGAUUCAAACCUUUCUAAUAGUUAAAAAAUUAAACUUAUGCCACUUCCCACCUUCCUGCCUUUUAAGGCAAUUUCCUUCUUCAUUCAAACUUUGUGCAAUUUUAGACAUUUUUCUAGCCUCUUCCAGCAUGAAUAAAAUUUCUUUUUAUAGAGCAUAUUCAUACUAUUUGUCCUUCAACCAAUUAAUCAAUUAUCCAACUUACAUUUCUUUCACACCCCUUCAACAGCUUUAACAUUUAUACCUUUCUCCAUGUUUUAUUAGCAGUUUAGCAUUGCUUUUUCAGCUUUCAGCACUCAGCAUUUCCACGCAUUUUCUGCAAGGAAAUGCAAUUUUUCUAGUUAAGUGGAAAUGCUGAUAGGCAUUUCCACUUAUUGUUAUUCUCCCGUUUCUUUAUUAUUAUUAUUAUUAUUCUUCCGCCGUUUUUCGUCCGCUUUCAACUCCUUCCCAGUUUGUCCGAUUUCAACCGUUCAAACUUUAAACUAUUCCACUCCUUCAGGACACGUUUGCUAUUACUUUUCACUUUUCUAACAUUUAUACUUUUUGUUUUUUUUAACUUUUUGUGCAAAAAUUUUAACAUUGAAGUCAAUGGGGAAAUCUUCCAAUUCUUCCUUUUAUUCUUCCACCUUCUAGACCUUAUAACUUCAGCAUACUUUCACCUAGAGACCUCAUUUUUGCUUUAAAAUGUUCAUUCACUUGUCGACUAUUAUAGUUGUACUCAGUUUUUUGAUAUCUCUUACAGUUUUUCCACAAUUUAGCUUUAAGCAACUUGUGGUUUUCAGCAAAUUUCAAGCUUUAUAAUGGGUGUGUAUUGGAGAGUUUAGAGUGAUGAUGUCAUCAGCUAGAGUGCAGACCUCGUCUCUGAUCGACAGAACCUCGCUCGAAUAUAUCGCUCCCACGCCCACAAAUCUCACUCCACUGACACAAAUAAUACAUCAAAAUGGAGGUAUAUGUGUCCUGCUUCUCACAAAAGAGGUUUCAAAUCAUUAAAUCGUACCCCUUGGCCAGCAGGUGACCAACUGUCCAAAGAAGGCGGAAAUCUCUCCCAUUGACCGUAAUGUUAUUUUUCUCCAAGAAAAUCCGGAUCAUCGCUCAGGCUCAGACUUUUUUAACUCGCUGUUGUGGCCUCAUUUUUCGGAGUACAGACAUGAAAAACACAUCAUUGUGUUCAUGAAGGGCGGAGGAUUCGUACGAUGUUCUUAUUUUCAUUCUGUGACUUAAGGAAAACACGCUAUGUGAAGAAGUUUAGAGCCUCUAAAUCCUCUGCAGUUCAGCUGCUUCUCAUUCAAACAGUAGGUCAGUGAUUUGCCUUUGAUCUCACAGCUGUUUAGGAUGCAGUCAUUAACGAGACACACACACACACACACACACACACAUUCUUGUACUUGUUGCUUUAUGAGGUCUACCUUGCAGUUCAGCUGCUUGUACACACAGUUAAUAUGUGUCUGCUUCGCCACCUAUCUCCACCCACAAACUUUGAGCUACAGAAACCAUUCUGGGCUUCUAAAAUUCAGCUCAUUGAAGAUAUUAUGGGGUGUUUUGAGGAUUGUGAUAAUAAAUUGUAUUAAUGUGUUUAGCAGAGUCUUGU